UACAGAGGGUGCGAGCGUUAAUCGGAAUUACUGGGCGUAAAGCGCACGUAGUCGGCUUUGCAAGUCGGUUGUGAAAUCCCCGGGCUCAACCUGGGAACUGCAUCCGAGACUGCAUUGCUAGAGUAUGGGAGAGGAAAGCGGAAUUUCUGGUGUAGCAGUGAAAUGCGUAGAUAUCAGAAGGAACAUCAGUGGCGAAGGCGGCAUUCUGGGCCGGUACUGACGCUGAGGAGCGAAAGCGUGGGGAGCAAACAGG
rnacentral:rRNA from 1 species